CUACGGGCGGCUGCAGUGGGGAAUAUUGGACAAUGGGCGCAAGCCUGAUCCAGCCAUACCGCGUGUGUGAAGAAGGCCUUCGGGUUGUAAAGCACUUUAAGCAGGGAGAAAAAGUUAUAAGUUAAUACCUUAUAACCGUGAUGUUACCUGCAGAAUAAGCACCGGCUAAUUCCGUGCCAGCAGCCGCGGUAAUACGGAAGGUGCAAGCGUUAAUCGGAAUUACUGGGCGUAAAGCGCGCGUAGGUGGUUUGUUAAGUUGGAUGUGAAAGCCCUGGGCUCAACCUAGGAACUGCAUCCAAAACUAACUAGCUAGAGUACGAUAGAGGGAGGUAGAAUUCAUAGUGUAGCGGUAGAAUGCGUAGAUAUUAUGAAGAAUACCAGUGGCGAAGGCGGCCUCCUGGAUCUGUACUGACACUGAGGUGCGAAAGCGUGGGUAGCGAACAGGAUUAGAUACCCGCGUAGUC
rnacentral:rRNA from 1 species